rnacentral:rRNA from 1 species
UACGGGGGGGGCAAGCGUUGUUCGGAAUUACUGGGCGUAAAGGGCUCGUAGGCGGCCAACUAAGUCAGACGUGAAAUCCCACGGCUUAACCGGGGAACUGCGUCUGAUACUGGAUGGCUUGAGUUUGGGAGAGGGAUGCGGAAUUCCAGGUGUAGCGGUGAAAUGCGUAGAUAUCGGGAAGAACACCCGUGGCGAAGGCGGCACUCUGGGACGGUACUGACGCUGAGACGCGAAAGCGUGGGGAGCGAACAGG